AUCGAUGAAGAACGCAGCGAAAUGCGAUAAGUAAUGUGAAUUGCAGAAUUCAGUGAAUCAUCGAAUCUUUGAACGCACAUUGCGCCCCUUGGUAUUCCGAGGGGCAUGCCUGUUCGAGCGUCAUUAUAACCAAUCCAGCUCGCUGGGUCUUGGGCACCGCCAACCUGGUUGGCGGGCCUCAAAAGNCAGUGGCGGUACGGCCGGGCUCUAAGCGUAGUAAUACUCCUCGCUACAGACCCCCGGGCGGCACCUGCCAGAACCCCUCAUUUUUUCAGGUUGACCUCGGAUCAGGUAGGGAUACCCGCUGAACUUAAGCAUAUCAAUAAGCGGAGGAAAAGAAACCAACAGGGAUUACCUCAGUAACGGCGAGUGAAGCGGUAAUAGCUCAAAUUUGAAAUCUGGCUCUUUCAGGGUCCGAGUUGUAAUUUGUAGAAGAUGCUUUGGGUGUAGCUCCGGUCUAAGUUCCUUGGAACAGGACGUCAUAGAGGGUGAGAAUCCCGUAUGUGAUCGGUGGCUUUCGCCCGUGUAAAGCUCUUUCGACGAGUCGAGUUGUUUGGGAAUGCAGCUCUAAAUGGGUGGUAUAUUUCAUCUAAAGCUAAAUAUUGGCCAGAGACCGAUAGCGCACAAGUAGAGUGAUCGAAAGAUGAAAAGCACUUUGGAAAGAGAGUUAAACAGUACGUGAAAUUGUUAAAAGGGAAGCGCUUGCAACCAGACUCGCCCGCCGUUGAUCAUCCUCGGUUCUCCGGGGUGCACUCUGCGGCGGUCGGGCCAGCAUCAGUUUCGGUGGUGGGAUAAAGGCCUUGGGAAUGUAGCUGCUCUCGGGCAGUGUUAUAGCCCUCGGUGCAAUGCCGCCUACCGGGACUGAGGACCGCGCUUCGGCUAGGAUGCUGGCGUAAUGGUUGUAAGCGACCCGUCUUGAAACACGG
rnacentral:rRNA from 1 species